ACAAGUGAAAAAUCAUUCUCUUUCUCUCUCUAGGUUUUCUUUGUUUCUUUCUUCUUUUUCUACAAUCUCUCUAUUUUCUUUUCUACAUAAUGCUUAACAUGGUAUCAAUCGCCAUUAAAGCUUGAUCAGCUUCUUCGAUCCUUUCUUUUGCUUCCGCUACACGAAAUUCUUUCUUCUUCUAUCUUGUGGGUGUAUCAAGUUUACCCAGUUCUUCAUGGUAACUCUGAUGGGGCUUCAAUCUCGACCUGUACCAUUAGUCUUUCCUUAUCUGUAUCCAUACUUGCUUAAGGAGUGGAUGGUUACAUCUUCCCAUUCUUUCUAACUACUGCUGUUUUAAAAAGGCACAUUUUUUUUUAAUGCGCAAUUUGUUGCAUCUGCGGAAGCAUUUGUUUAGACAUCUGUGGGUUCACUUGUUAGGGUAGUCGAAUGAGAUUCUGAUGCUAUGGCUGCAACUAAGACUGGAUUCCAUGAAUUUGCUACUGAGUUUUUUGAAAAUUCCUGGAGCCGUCUUUGACUUGCUCCACUUGAAAGACAAAAUUACCAUAUCGCACAGUUUGAAGGAACAUGUUUAGUAGUUCAAGCGUUGAGCACUGCUUUCUUUUGUGCACACCAGGUGUUUGAGUCUUUUCCUCAAACAGAUUUCUCUACAUUUUUCCAAAAUGGUAAUUGCGAAUCAACAUCAAAUCUUGCAAUCACCCAUCACUGGAUUGAUUUCAUCCGUUUCCACGUCUGUUACUGUGAAGCUGGAUGAGACCAACUAUCUACAAUUGCAUUUUCAGAUGCAGUUAAUGCUUGAAGUCCAUGGACUUAUGGGGUUCGUUGAUAGAUCGAAUCUCUUUCUUGCUUAGUUUUCUUCUACUUCUUUAGGAGAUUCAGAGCAAGAGUUCUCAAGAGAUGUAGGUUCGUCUUCAAAACCAGUUUUUCUUACCACGUACAAAAACCAGUAUAAUCAAAUUACAGACUGAUCUUCACAACAUUAAGAAGGGAUCAAAUUCAAUUUCCCAAUAUCUUCAAAGAAUUGAAGGAGCAAAUGAUGGACUUUAUAUUCUUGGUGUCACACUUGUUGAUGAAGACUUUGUGAUUAUUGCAUUGAAUGGACUCCCUCCAAAAUACAACACAUUUAAAUGUGUACUCAAAGGGCGUGAGAGCAUCAUUUCACUCAAGGAGUUUUGUGCAUAAUUGCUCACUGAGGAAGCCAUUGUGGAUUGUGCUCUUGUUGAAUGUGAGACAGAAGGAUAUUUCUUUCCUCUCUUUAGCUCUCAAUUUCAUGCUGGCUUCAAUGGUGGUUAUCAUGCUCAAUCCAAUUUUAGUUCAUGCCAGUCAAGCUAUGGUAAUAAUGUUGAUAGUUAUAAUGGAAUUCUUGGCUCACCUCCAUCUUCAUAUCCUAGUUCUCUGCCACCUGAAAUUACUACAUGUCAAAUUUGUUCACAUAAGGAUCAUCUUGUUGCCCAUUGUUUUGCUCAAACUACCAACUCAUCUAUUACACAAUAUCCAAACCUGCAGGAUCAGGUUCGAUUUUCUGAUUCAAUGAAGUCAAUUGAGACGAA